AGCGAACGCUGGCGGCAGGCCUAACACAUGCAAGUCGAACGAACUCUUCGGAGUUAGUGGCGGACGGGUGAGUAACACGUGGGAACGUGCCUUUAGGUUCGGAAUAACUCAGGGAAACUUGUGCUAAUACCGAAUGUGCCCUUCGGGGGAAAGAUUUAUCGCCUUUAGAGCGGCCCGCGUCUGAUUAGCUAGUUGGUGAGGUAAAGGCUCACCAAGGCGACGAUCAGUAGCUGGUCUGAGAGGAUGAUCAGCCACAUUGGGACUGAGACUCGGCCCAAACUCCUACGGGAGGCAGCAGUGGGGAAUCUUGCGCAAUGGGCGAAAGCCUGACGCAGCCAUGCCGCGUGAAUGAUGAAGGUCUUAGGAUUGUAAAAUUCUUUCACCGGGGACGAUAAUGACGGUACCCGGAGAAGAAGCCCCGGCUAACUUCGUG
rnacentral:rRNA from 1 species